rnacentral:lncRNA from 11 species
CUUCCUACAAAAUUUUGAACAAGAAGCAGUGCAACACAAGGGAAGACAACUCUUCCAUGCAUUUAUGGUUCAGGACUAACUUUCAGGUGGUGUCCUAGAUUCUCUUUUGCUUCAGAAAACAAAUGGUCUGAGUGCUGUCCUUGCCUAGCGCUCACACAGCAUGCUUCUCUAGAUAACAAUUGCUGUCUGAACAAUAAGGAAAGAGAAGGCAAAAAUCAAAGUGCUGGGAAGAGAAAAAUCAAUCUACUUGUAGGAGGCCACAACCCUCUACAUUGGUUUUUUGAGGCCCAUAAACCGCAGUUUGAUGACAGAAGCUUUUCACACACUUCAUGUUUGUUCUCAUCUUUCCCUCUUGUAUGUAUUCUUUUAAGUUCUUUGGGCAAUGAGCAACAACUGAAGCUUUCCACAUAGACUAGGUUUUCAGCUGGCUUGUCUCCUAUCGGAAGU